GGAAGCAGGGGAUCGUAAGACCUCGCGCUAUUGGAGCGGCCGAUGUCCGAUUAGCUAGUUGGUGGGGUAAUGGCCUACCAAGGCGACGAUCGGUAGCUGGUCUGAGAGGAUGAUCAGCCACACUGGGACUGAGACACGGCCCAGACUCCUACGGGAGGCAGCAGUGGGGAAUUUUGGACAAUGGGCGAAAGCCUGAUCCAGCCAUGCCGCGUGAGUGAAGAAGGCCUUCGGGUUGUAAAGCUCUUUCGGCCGGAACGAAAUCGUCCGGGCUAAUACCCCGGAUGGAUGACGGUACCGGAAGAAGAAGCACCGGCUAACUACGUGCCAGCGGCCGCGGUAAUACGUAGGGUGCAGGCGUUAAUCGGAAUUACUGGGCGUAAAGCGUGCGCAGGCGGCUUCCUAAGUCAAAUGUGAAAUCCCCGGGCUUAACCUGGGAACUGCGUUUGAAACUACAAGGC
rnacentral:rRNA from 1 species